UCGACGUUCUUCGUAGUAGUAAACAGAAACGUCACCGCGAGGGAUACGAUGAUACUUUUCGUAAAGAGCAGACUUCAUCUGGUCCGAAAAACCAUUACGUCUAUUUCGUUUGAGGAUCCGAAAAGUUUGCCAAUCAAAGACCACGCUGAAACAACUGACAUUUGCUUGUUCUGAUUCGGAGGACUUUUUUCUUGUAGGUAGAGGCAUUAUGCGAAGAUCUUAGACUUCUGGGCAAGAAAUAAUUCAAGCAACUUUUGAAGUGGUGCCUGCAUGUACGAAAAGCUCUUUUGAAAACGGCAGCUUCGGAGGGUGAUAAGGCUGCUGAACAGGAUGACGACGAAAAAGAAGAAGAUGAAGACGAGGAUAUGCUAAAGAAAAUGGAGGAGCUCAAGUCUCUAAUGGAUUCGAAAAGCAAGCAGGCGAAAAAGAAGGCUGCCAAGCGUAAA